AAAACAAACUUUGGCUCAUUAAUUACAUUAAUAAUAAUGCAGUUACAAUUCUCCAAAAUGUCAUUUUGCAUAAUUGCAAAUUUAUCCCUUCUUUACAGUUUAUUCAAAAAUAUCUUUUCAAGGUAAAUUACGUUAAAAGAUAACAAUACUUAAACUAAAAAUUAAAUUAAGAAGCCUUUCAAUCACAGUCUGUCUUCUCAAGAUUUUUGAGUCAAGAAAUAUUGAUAGUGAAGUUCAGGAUUUUUCAAGAUAUGGCAUUUAUGGCAAAGAGAGCCCUCUCUUAAUACCUGCAUAGAUAAUGAUUCUUGAUUUAUAAAGAUUUAUGAAUCUUUUUCUGCACUACUGUAAUUUCAGGAAAAAAGACGACAAUAUUAUUUUACAAGAAAAUAUCAAGGCUCAUCCUGCUUCCACAGGAUGUCUUCAUACAGGAUAUCCGGCACUGGAUUGGAAAGCUAACUUUGUAAUUCAGCGAGUGAUGAUGUUUCAUCUGGAAGAGUAGGGAUUUCCUGAACAGAACUUGCGAAACUGUUGAGAGAGAUCUAGCUACAGUUCUUCCUGCUUUGAAGAAAUGUUUUGUGAAGGUUUACAGAGCAGCAGACUGGAGAUCGCUGUAUUCCCGAAGCCUUUUGCACUUUGAUACAAGAGGACCUAAUGUUUGCCAGCCUGAAUUUCUCUGUCAGUGCUUGCUCGCAGCUACAUUUCCAGAGAGGGAGGAAGCAAAAGUGAGAUGAAUAAAUGUAUAAGUACAGCAUGGCCCAAGGAAGAGGUUACGACUGUCACCCUUUACUAAAUUUCACUGUAGACAAAACAAGGUAUGUAGUAAACUUUUAUGGGACAUUUGUUUGUUCUUCUGCUUUUAUCGCACACCUACGUCUUUAGCCUA